CCUGCCCCUAGAGGCAUCUCAGGUGUGGCUGCUGUGUCACAUGUGUGUCAGUAGCUGGUGGAAAGGAGAGAAGUUGUGUCUAUAGCUUAAUGUUCUGACUUACGGACAUCUAAAUGAUUAGCAGCCUAACAUU
ensembl:snoRNA Gm24375 small nucleolar RNA SNORA17